UACGUAGGGGGCAAGCGUUGUCCGGAUUCAUUGGGCGUAAAGAGCGUGUAGGCGGCCAGGUAGGUCAGUUGUGAAAACUGGAGGCUCAACCUUCAGAGGUCGACCGAAACCAUCUGGCUAGAGUCCGGGAGAGGAGAGUGGAAUUCCUGGUGUAGCGGUGAAAUGCGCAGAUAUCAGGAAGAACACCCGUGGCGAAAGCGGCUCUCUGGAACGGUACUGACGCUGAGGUGCGAAAGCGUGGGGAGCAAACAGG
rnacentral:rRNA from 1 species